rnacentral:misc_RNA from 1 species
GAUGAAGAACGUAGUGAAAUGCGAUAAGUAAUGUGAAUUGCAGAAUUCAGUGAAUCAUCGAAUCUUUGAACGCACAUUGCGCCCGCCAGUAUUCUGGCGGGCAUGCCUGUUCGAGCGUCAUUUCAACCAUCAAGCCCCCGGCUUGUGUUGGGGACCUGCGGCUGCCGCAGGCCCUGAAAACCAGUGGCGGGCUCGCUAGUCACUCCGAGCGUAGUAAUACAUCUCGCUCAGGGCGUGCUGCGGGUUCCGGCCGUUAAAAGCCUUAUUUACCCAAGGUUGACCUCGGAUCAGGUAGGAAGACCCGCUGAACUUAAGCAUAUCAAUAAGCGGAGGA